rnacentral:misc_RNA from 1 species
CUGCUACAAUUCAACUUAUGAAAAGAGUCGACUUCUUCCAUCAUUGAUAUAGUCUUAAUUGGGACGCUGCUGAACAUUCUUGGAUUUUGGUCUACAUUAGACAAGGGCCCUAACCUUAAGAUACNNNNNCGAUAUCCAUGCAAUCCAUACAGGUAUUUGCCGCUGCUAUCUUCCCCAGCUGCAGUAAAAAUGAGCAUAUCGUCAGUGGUAAUCUUCUCUUUCUCCACCUUUGUCGAGGAUGUCCAUCCUAAGGUGUCCAGAUUGAAGACUGAAAGU